rnacentral:rRNA from 1 species
CAGCAGCCGCGGUAAUACGUAGGGUGCGAGCGUUAAUCGGAAUUACUGGGCGUAAAGCGUGCGCAGGCGGUUAUAUAAGACAGAUGUGAAAUCCCCGGGCUCAACCUGGGACCUGCAUUUGUGACUGUAUAGCUAGAGUACGGUAGAGGGGGAUGGAAUUCCGCGUGUAGCAGUGAAAUGCGUAGAUAUGCGGAGGAACACCGAUGGCGAAGGCAAUCCCCUGGACCUGUACUGACGCUCAUGCACGAAAGCGUGGGGAGCAAACAGGAUUAGAUACCCCGGUAGUCCCUGUCUCUUAUAA